rnacentral:rRNA from 1 species
UCAUAUGCYUGUCUCAAAGAUUAAGCCAUGCAUGUCUCAGUGCAAGCCGUCCAGUACGGUGAAACCGCGAAAGGCUCAUUAAAUCAGUUAUGGUUCCUUAGAUUGUACCCACGUUACUUGGAUAACUGUGGUAAUUCUAGAGCUAAUACAUGCCGACAGAGUUCCAACCAAGUGCGCGGCUUCGGCCGUUGCAUUUAGGAAGGAACGCUUUUAUUAGAUCAAAACCGGCUAAGCGGCGGAGACCUCGCGUCCCCGUCGUUAGUGGCCUGCGCAAAGAUUUGGUGACUCUGAAUAACUUCGAGCUGAUCGCACGGUCUCGUACCGGCGACGUAUCUUUCAAAUGUCUGCCUUAUCAACUGUCGACGGUAGGUUCGACGCCUACCGUGGUGGUAACGGGUAACGGGGAAUCAGGGUUCGAUUCCGGAGAGGGAGCCUGAGAAACGGCUACCACAUCCAAGGAAGGCAGCAGGCGCGCAAAUUACCCACUCCCAGCUCGGGGAGGUAGUGACGAAAAAUAACGAUACGGGACUCAUUCGAGGCCCCGUAAUCGGAAUGAGUACACUUUAAAACCUUGGCACACGAGGAUCAAUGAGGAGGGCAAG